GACGAACGCUGGCGGCGUGCCUAAUACAUGCAAGUCGAACGAGAGCGACCGGUGCUUGCACUGGUCAAUCUAGUGGCGAACGGGUGAGUAACACGUGGGUAACCUGCCCAUCAGAGGGGGAUAACAUCCGGAAACGGAUGCUAAAACCGCAUAGGUCUUCGAACCGCAUGGUUUGAAGAGGAAAAGAGGCGCAAGCUUCUGCUGAUGGAUGGACCCGCGGUGCAUUAGCUAGUUGGUGAGGUAACGGCUCACCAAGGCCGUGAUGCAUAGCCGACCUGAGAGGGUGAUCGGCCACAUUGGGACUGAGACACGGCCCAAACUCCUACGGGAGGCAGCAGUAGGGAAUCUUCCGCAAUGGACGCAGGUCUGACGGAGCAACGCCGCGUGAGUGAAGAAGGUUUUCGGAUCGUAAAACUCUGUUGUUAGAGAAGAACAAGUGCUAGAGUAACUGUUAGCGCCUUGACGGUAUCUAACCAGAAAGCCACGGCUAACUACGUG
rnacentral:rRNA from 1 species